rnacentral:rRNA from 1 species
UACGGGGGGGGCAAGCGUUGUUCGGAAUUACUGGGCGUAAAGGGCGUGAAGGCGGCCAACUAAGUCGGAUGUGAAAUCCCCAGGCUCAACCUGGGAACUGCAUCCGAUACUGGAUGGCUUGAAUCCGGGAGAGGGAUGCAGAAUUCCAGGUGUAGCGGUGAAAUGCGUAGAUAUCUGGAGGAAUACCGGUGGCGAAGGCGGCAUCCUGGACCGGCAUUGACGCUGAGGAGCGAAAGCCAGGGGAGCAAACGGG